rnacentral:rRNA from 1 species
GCCUAACACAUGCAAGUCGAACGGCAGCACAGAGGAGCUUGCUCCUUGGGUGGCGAGUGGCGGACGGGUGAGGAAUACAUCGGAAUCUACUUUUUCGUGGGGGAUAACGUAGGGAAACUUACGCUAAUACCGCAUACGACCUACGGGUGAAAGCAGGGGACCUUCGGGCCUUGCGCGAUUGAAUGAGCCGAUGUCGGAUUAGCUAGUUGGCGGGGUAAAGGCCCACCAAGGCGACGAUCCGUAGCUGGUCUGAGAGGAUGAUCAGCCACACUGGAACUGAGACACGGUCCAGACUCCUACGGGAGGCAGCAGUGGGGAAUAUUGGACAAUGGGCGCAAGCCUGAUCCAGCCAUACCGCGUGGGUGAAGAAGGCCUUCGGGUUGUAAAGCCCUUUUGUUGGGAAAGAAAUCCAGCCGGCUAAUACCCGGUUGGGAUGACGGUACCCAAAGAAUAAGCACCGGCUAACUUCGUGCCAGCAGCCGCGGUAAUACGAAGGGUGCAAGCGUUACUCGGAAUUACUGGGCGUAAAGCGUGCGUAGGUGGUCGUUUAAGUCCGUUGUGAAAGCCCUGGGCUCAACCUGGGAACUGCAGUGGAUACUGGGCGACUAGAGUGUGGUAGAGGGUAGCGGAAUUCCUGGUGUAGCAGUGAAAUGCGUAGAGAUCAGGAGGAACAUCCAUGGCGAAGGCAGCUACCUGGACCAACACUGACACUGAGGCACGAAAGCGUGGGGAGCAAACAGGAUUAGAUAUCCUGGUAGUCCACGCCCUAAACGAUGCGAACUGGAUGUUGGGUGCAAUUUGGCACGCAGUAUCG